GACGAACGCUGGCGGCGUGCUUAACACAUGCAAGUCGAACGGAAAGGCCCUGCUUUUGUGGGGUGCUCGAGUGGCGAACGGGUGAGUAACACGUGAGUAACCUGCCCUUGACUUUGGGAUAACUUCAGGAAACUGGGGCUAAUACCGGAUAUGAGCUCCUGCUGCAUGGUGGGGGUUGGAAAGUUUCGGCGGUUGGGGAUGGACUCGCGGCUUAUCAGCUUGUUGGUGGGGUAGUGGCUUACCAAGGCUUUGACGGGUAGCCGGCCUGAGAGGGUGACCGGGCACAUGGGGACUGAGAUACGGCACAGACUCCUACGGGAGGCAGCAGUGGGGAAUAUUGCACAAUGGGCGGACGCCGGGUGCAGCAACGCCGCGUGCGGGAUGACGGCCUUCGGGUUGUACACCGCUUUCGCCUGUGACGAAGCGUGAGUGACGGUAAUGGGUGAAGAGGCACCGGCUACCUACGU
rnacentral:rRNA from 1 species